rnacentral:rRNA from 1 species
AACGAACGCUGGCGGCAGGCUUAACACAUGCAAGUCGAACGCAUCCUUCGGGGUGAGUGGCAGACGGGUGAGUAACGCGUGGGAACGCGCCCUUCAGUUCGGGAUAACCCAGGGAAACUUGGGCUAAUACAGGAUACGUGCGAGAGCAGAAAGAUUUAUCGCUGAAGGAUCGGCCCGCGUCUGAUUAGCUAGUUGGUGGGGUAAUGGCCCACCAAGGCGACGAUCAGUAGCUGGUCUGAGAGGAUGAUCAGCCACAUUGGGACUGAGACACGGCCCAAACUCCUACGGGAGGCAGCAGUGGGGAAUAUUGGACAAUGGGCGCAAGCCUGAUCCAGCCAUGCCGCGUGAGUGAUGAAGGCCUUAGGGUUGUAAAGCUCUUUCGUCCGGGACGAUAAUGACGGUACCGGAAGAAGAAGCCCCGGCUAACUUCGUGCCAGCAGCCGCCGUAAUAC